CGUCCAACUUCACACGGAUUUGGUCCAAAUAGAACCCGUUUUACCCGUUUUUUAUACUCCCAAUCUCUAUCUCUCUGCAUAUUUGAUCGAACCGAAGACGAUCACUUGCCAAGUUGAUUUCGUUUCCUUCCUCCGGCCGAGACACUAGGGUUCGAUCGAUUCAGGGACGAUGAACACGAGAGUAUAGUGGCUGAUGAACCAGUGAACGUUCAGAGGCAAAAGCACUGGUUUCAGGCGGGCUUUGGUCAGUGAAAGACAGAAAGUUUGAAGGAUCAGUCCAUAAGGCCAUCCAAGAGGGAGCAGUGAUCCUUGCUAUGUUGAAGCAUAUCAUUACCUGACUCCACUGAUGGAAGGAUUACCCUGCAUCUAAAGCAAGUCAGUCAUAUGGCAUCCUCACGUCCUGUGUCUGGAUCAUCAGCAUCAUCUGGACUGUUGCCCCCUGCAGGUCCAGAUUCAGGUUUUAGUACAGUCCAUCCUGGACAAAAGAACUACUUGAGAAACUCAUCGUCACUUCAAGAUUUCUCAACGUACCAUGUACUUGAUUCAGAAGAAAAUGAUCUUGAUCUUGUAAUCAACAGGUCUGCAUCCCGUGCAAAAGUUCCUCAUCCCUUACAGAGAGAAAAGGAUGGUGCAAGUUUCUCAAAGGAGAAAGUCUUGCCAGGAAUACCAUUUUUAAGGAAGAAAUGGGUCCGAAGAAUCAUGGCACUCAUUUGCUUACUAAUCUUAUUUUUCUUGAUCUACUUGUGUGCAAAAUAUUUUAGUACUUAUUGGUCUCAAGAAGCAUCGAAAUUUUAUGUGGUACUUGAUUGUGGAAGUACGGGAACUCGUGUUUAUGUAUAUAAAUCAUCUAUUGAUCAUAAGAAAGAUGGUGGUCUUCCUAUUAUCUUGAGAUCAUUACCAGAAGGGACUAAAAGAAAAUCUAUUGCAUUGUCUGGGCGUGCUUAUCUUCGAAUGGAAACUGAGCCUGGGUUUGACAAACUUGUGCACAAUACAUCUGGGUUGAAGGCAGUGAUGAAACCUCUCCUGCAGUGGGCAGAGAAGAACAUACCCAAGCGAUCUCAUAAGAGUACAUCACUCUUCCUUCAUGCCACAGCUGGGGUUCGUAGACUUCCAAGUUCUGAUUCCCAAUGGCUUCUUGAUAAUGCUUGGUCAAUAUUGAGGAAUUCCUCUUUUGCAUGCCGGAGGGACUGGGUCAGGGUUAUCUCAGGCAUGGAGGAAGCUUAUUAUGGAUGGAUAGCUCUUAAUUAUCACAUGGGUAUGCUGGGUUCCGAACCAGCAAAAGCAACAUUUGGUGCACUUGAUUUGGGUGGUUCAUCAUUGCAGGUUACUUUUGAGACCAAGGAACUGGUAAAAGGUGAGUCUGGUUUAAAAUUAAAUAUGGGGGCCGUUAGUCAUCAGCUCAGUGCCUAUUCUUUGUCAGGUUAUGGUUUGAAUGAUGCUUUUGAUAAAUCUGUGGUUUAUCUUCUCAAGAAGAUUCCAGGAAUCAGUAAUGUUGAUCUAAUUAAUGGAAAAAUUGAACUUAAACAUCCAUGCUUGCAGAGUGGGUACAUGGAAAAGUACAUCUGUUCUCAGUGUGCUUCACUAAACCAAGAAAGUGGGAGCCCUUUGAUGGCAGGAAAAAAUAUUGGUAAAGGAGGAAAACCUGGAAUAGCUGUCCGCCUUAUUGGUGCUCCACAAUGGGAAGAAUGCAGCAUGCUUGCAAAAGUGGCAGUUAAUUCAUCUGAAUGGUCAGAUUCAAAUCCAGGAAUCGAUUGUGAGCUGCAACCUUGUGCCCUGAGUGAUAGCUUACCCUGCCCCCAUGGGAAGUUUUAUGCGAUGUCUGGCUUCUAUGUGGUGUUUCGGUUUUUUAACUUGUCCUCAGAAGCUACAUUUGAUGAUGUAUUGGAGAAGGGUCGGGAAUACUGUGAAAAAACUUGGGAUGUUGCAAGGAAUAGUGUGGUACCACAGCCAUUUAUAGAACAAUACUGCUUUAGGGCGCCUUAUAUUGUAUCCCUUUUGAGAGAGGGAUUACACAUAACAGAUAGCCAGGUGCUUAUUGGUUCUGGUAGUAUCACUUGGACACUUGGGGUUGCUCUCUUGGAAGCUGGGGGGUCAUUAUCAACUCGAAUGGCACUUCGGAGCUUUAAACUACUCCAGAUGAAGAUGAGCCCAAUCCUUCUGAUUGUUCUGGUGAUUGUUUCACUGAUACUUCUAGCCUGUGCCUUAUCAUGCACUGGCAAGUGGAUCCCAAGAUUUUUCCAUAGGCCUUAUCUCCCAUUAUUUAGGCAUAACGGUGCAACUGUGACCUCUGUUCUUAAUAUUUCCUCUCCAUUCCGGUUCCAGCGCUGGAGUCCUAUGAACACUGGAGAUGGGAGGGUAAAGAUGCCACUGAGUCCUACCAUUGCUCAUUCUCAGCAAAAACCGUUCAGUAUGGGCCACAGUUUGGAAGACCACAACAUUCAGCUCAUUGAGUAUUCUUUACAUCCGACAAGAAGUAGCGUCUCACAUAGUUACUCCUCAGGUAGCUUGGGGCAGAUGCAGUUUGAUAAUGGUGGGGUGGGUUCCUUUUGGGCUCCUCACAGAAGUCAGAUGCGUCUUCAAAGCCGGAGAUCACAGUCCAGAGAAGACCUCAAUUCUUCACUGGCUGAGGCACACAUAGCGAAGGUCUAGAGCAUGCUCCUUCAGAAGUUGGGGUUUGAAUUUCAAAAUCCGUGAUCAAGGGCCCCUCUUUUCCCGCCCCCAGCCUUCGCCUCCGCCUCCGCCUCCUCUCUAUCUGGCUUGCUCACAGUCUCUGCUUCAACAAUGGCUAAUGCCACUUCUCUGUCUACUCCACUUGGAACUGCCGCUUGCGAGAAGCAUGCGAAGGAUAUUCAGUUCAUCGAAGAGAUGACCAAGAACGCUAACACCGUCCAGGAGGCGAUUUUGGCUGAGAUCUUGACCCGAAAUGCCGAGACUGAGUAUCUUCGCCGAUACCAGCUUAAUGGCGCAACCGAUUGGGAGACAUUCAAAUCAAAGAUACCAGUAAUCACCUACGAGGAUAUUCAGCUUGAGAUCCAACGCAUUGCCAAUGGUGAUCGUUCCCCAAUCCUCUCCAGUGAACCCAUCUCUGAAUUCUUCACUAGCUCUGGAACUUCCGACGGUGAGAGAAAGUUCAUGCCCAACAACUCAAGAAGAGCUGAAUCGCUGUCAACUUCUUCAUAACCUUGUCGCACCAUUCAUGAACCUUUACAUUCCAGGCCUAGAACAGAAGAAAGGGGCUAUACUUCUUGUUCGUCAAAUCCGGAACCAAGACUCCCGGCGGGCUAUUGGCACGUCUAGCUCUCACUGGCUACUACAAUAGUGAUCAAUUCAAGAACAGACCCUACGACCCUUACAAUGUAUACGCUAGCCCCAUCGAAGCCAUCCUCUGCACCGAUUCUUUCCAGAGCAUGUACACCCAGACGCUAUGUGGCCUCUGCCAACAAAAGGAAGUCCUUCGAGUCGGUGCCGUGUUCGCCUCUGGGUUACUCAGGGCAAUCAGAUUUCUCCAACUCAACUGGCAACAACUCGCCCAUGACAUUUCCACGGGACCUUGAAUCCCAAAAUCACCGACCCAUGGAUGAACAAAACAUGGAUUUUGAAAUUCAAACCUGGGUUUUAUGAGUUGUUUGGUCAGAACCGGUUCAAGUCAAUAUGGUUCGAGUCAUCCAUUAAUCUAAACCGGAUUUAGUAACAAAAGACCAACAAAAGUAAUCUCAACCGCAGGUUUAAAGGAGGACACGUAUCCUCUUCUGCAGGUAGCAAAACACAGCAAAACAGGGAUGAAGAAAAACAGACGAUUUUUAUCCGUUAUCAUCAGCAUCACAACUCCUAGGGAAUCCAAUUAUGCUCCCCAAAUAAUUACUAAUCUGGUGUUUUAUUUUAUCUUCUCUUAUAUUAUCUUGUAAUAUUGAAAUUGGCACGAUGAUGUCUCCUUGUGUUCAUGAUGUUGCCACAAAUUUUUUCUUCAAGUGAUGAUAUGGUGUGAUCA